CCUACGGGUGGCAGUAGUGAGGAAUAUUGGUCAAUGGACGAGAGUCUGAACCAGCCAAGUAGCGUGAAGGAUGACUGCCCUAUGGGUUGUAAACUUCUUUUAUAUGGGAAUAAAACGUUCCACGUGUGGGAUUUUGUAUGUACCAUAUGAAUAAGGAUCGGCUAACUCCGUGCCAGCAGCCGCGGUAAUACGGAGGAUCCGAGCGUUAUCCGGAUUUAUUGGGUUUAAAGGGAGCGUAGGUGGAUUGUUAAGUCAGUUGUGAAAGUUUGCGGCUCAACCGUAAAAUUGCAGUUGAAACUGGCAGUCUUGAGUACAGUAGAGGUGGGCGGAAUUCGUGGUGUAGCGGUGAAAUGCUUAGAUAUCACGAAGAACUCCGAUUGCGAAGGCAGUUCACUGGACUGCAACUGACACUGAGGCUCGAAAGUGUGGGUAUCAAACAGGAUUAGACACCCUUGUAGUC
rnacentral:rRNA from 1 species